AGAGUUUGAUUCAUGGCUCAGGAUGAACGCUAGCUACAGGCUUAACACAUGCAAGUCGCGGGGCAUCAUGUUGGUUGCUUGCAACCGAUGAUGGCGACCGGCGCACGGGUGAGUAACGCGUAUCCAACCUGCCUAUUACCACGGGAUACCCCGGCGAAAGUCGGACUAAUACCGUAUGUUGUCCUCCAAUGGCAUCAGCAGUGGACGAAAGGUUUAGCGGUAAUGGAUGGGGAUGCGUCCGAUUAGCUUGUUGGCGGGGUAACAGCCCACCAAGGCAUCGAUCGGUAGGGGUUCUGAGAGGAAGGUCCCCCACACUGGAACUGAGACACGGUCCAGACUCCUACGGGAGGCAGCAGUGAGGAAUAUUGGUCAAUGGGCGUAAGCCUGAACCAGCCAAGUAGCGUGCAGGAUGACGGCCCUAUGGGUUGUAAACUGCUUUUAUGCGAGGAUAAAGUCACCCACGUGUGGGUGUUUGCAGGUAUUGAAUGAAUAAGGACCGGCUAAUUCCGUGCCAGCAGCCGCGGU
rnacentral:rRNA from 1 species